GUGGGGAAUAUUGGACAAUGGGCGAAAGCCUGAUCCAGCCAUGCCGCGUGUGUGAAGAAGGUCUUCGGAUUGUAAAGCACUUUAAGUUGGGAGGAAGGGUAGUAACCUAAUACGUUGCUACUUUGACGUUACCGACAGAAUAAGCACCGGCUAACUUCGUGCCAGCAGCCGCGGUAAUACGAAGGGUGCAAGCGUUAAUCGGAAUUACUGGGCGUAAAGCGCGCGUAGGUGGUUCAGUAAGUUGGAAGUGAAAUCCCCGGGCUCAACCUGGGAACUGCUUUCAAAACUGCAUGACUAGAGUACGGUAGAGGGUAGUGGAAUUUCCUGUGUAGCGGUGAAAUGCGUAGAUAUAGGAAGGAACACCAGUGGCGAAGGCGACUACCUGGACUGAUACUGACACUGAGGUGCGAAAGCGUGGGGAGCAAACAGGAUUAGAAACCCCUGUAGUCC
rnacentral:rRNA from 1 species